rnacentral:sRNA from 1 species
ACUAAGGUUCGAUUCGAGUGCAGCGAGAAAGCGUUGCCGCAGGCAACGACCCGAAGAGUGAGGAGCGGAGCGACGAAUAAUCCUUCCCCCACCACCA